AGCGUACACGGUGGAUGCCCUGGCAGUCAGAGGCGAUGAAGGACGUGCUAAUCUGCGAUAAGCGUCGGUAAGGUGAUAUGAACCGUUAUAACCGGCGAUUUCCGAAUGGGGAAACCCAGUGUGUUUCGACACACUAUCAUUAACUGAAUCCAUAGGUUAAUGAGGCGAACCGGGGGAACUGAAACAUCUAAGUACCCCGAGGAAAAGAAAUCAACCGAGAUUCCCCCAGUAGCGGCGAGCGAACGGGGAGCAGCCCAGAGCCUGAAUCAGUGUGUGUGUUAGUGGAAGCGUCUGGAAAGGCGCGCGAUACAGGGUGACAGCCCCGUACACAAAAAUGCACAUGCUGUGAGCUCGAUGAGUAGGGCGGGACACGUGGUAUCCUGUCUGAAUAUGGGGGGACCAUCCUCCAAGGCUAAAUACUCCUGACUGACCGAUAGUGAACCAGUACCGUGAGGGAAAGGCGAAAAGAACCCCGGCGAGGGGAGUGAAAAAGAACCUGAAACCGUGUACGUACAAGCAGUGGGAGCACGCUUCGGCGUGUGACUGCGUACCUUUUGUAUAAUGGGUCAGCGACUUAUAUUCUGUAGCAAGGUUAACCGAAUAGGGGAGCCGAAGGGAAACCGAGUCUUAACUGGGCGUUAAGUUGCAGGGUAUAGACCCGAAACCCGGUGAUCUAGCCAUGGGCAGGUUGAAGGUUGGGUAACACUAACUGGAGGACCGAACCGACUAAUGUUGAAAAAUUAGCGGAUGACUUGUGGCUGGGGGUGAAAGGCCAAUCAAACCGGGAGAUAGCUGGUUCUCCCCGAAAGCUAUUUAGGUAGCGCCUCGUGAAUUCAUCUCCGGGGGUAGAGCACUGUUUCGGCAAGGGGGUCAUCCCGACUUACCAACCCGAUGCAAACUGCGAAUACCGGAGAAUGUUAUCACGGGAGACACACGGCGGGUGCUAACGUCCGUCGUGAAGAGGGAAACAACCCAGACCGCCAGCUAAGGUCCCAAAGUCAUGGUUAAGUGGGAAACGAUGUGGGAAGGCCCAGACAGCCAGGAUGUUGGCUUAGAAGCAGCCAUCAUUUAAAGAAAGCGUAAUAGCUCACUGGUCGAGUCGGCCUGCGCGGAAGAUGUAACGGGGCUAAACCAUGCACCGAAGCUGCGGCAGCGACACUAUGUGUUGUUGGGUAGGGGAGCGUUCUGUAAGCCUGUGAAGGUGUACUGUGAGGUAUGCUGGAGGUAUCAGAAGUGCGAAUGCUGACAUAAGUAACGAUAAAGCGGGUGAAAAGCCCGCUCGCCGGAAGACCAAGGGUUCCUGUCCAACGUUAAUCGGGGCAGGGUGAGUCGACCCCUAAGGCGAGGCCGAAAGGCGUAGUCGAUGGGAAACAGGUUAAUAUUCCUGUACUUGGUGUUACUGCGAAGGGGGGACGGAGAAGGCUAUGUUGGCCGGGCGACGGUUGUCCCGGUUUAAGCGUGUAGGCUGGUUUUCCAGGCAAAUCCGGAAAAUCAAGGCUGAGGCGUGAUGACGAGGCACUACGGUGCUGAAGCAACAAAUGCCCUGCUUCCAGGAAAAGCCUCUAAGCAUCAGGUAACAUCAAAUCGUACCCCAAACCGACACAGGUGGUCAGGUAGAGAAUACCAAGGCGCUUGAGAGAACUCGGGUGAAGGAACUAGGCAAAAUGGUGCCGUAACUUCGGGAGAAGGCACGCUGAUAUGUAGGUGAAGUCCCUCGCGGAUGGAGCUGAAAUCAGUCGAAGAUACCAGCUGGCUGCAACUGUUUAUUAAAAACACAGCACUGUGCAAACACGAAAGUGGACGUAUACGGUGUGACGCCUGCCCGGUGCCGGAAGGUUAAUUGAUGGGGUCAGCGCAAGCGAAGCUCUUGAUCGAAGCCCCGGUAAACGGCGGCCGUAACUAUAACGGUCCUAAGGUAGCGAAAUUCCUUGUCGGGUAAGUUCCGACCUGCACGAAUGGCGUAAUGAUGGCCAGGCUGUCUCCACCCGAGACUCAGUGAAAUUGAACUCGCUGUGAAGAUGCAGUGUACCCGCGGCAAGACGGAAAGACCCCGUGAACCUUUACUAUAGCUUGACACUGAACAUUGAGCCUUGAUGUGUAGGAUAGGUGGGAGGCUUUGAAGUGUGGACGCCAGUCUGCAUGGAGCCGACCUUGAAAUACCACCCUUUAAUGUUUGAUGUUCUAACGUUGACCCGUGAUCCGGGUUGCGGACAGUGUCUGGUGGGUAGUUUGACUGGGGCGGUCUCCUCCUAAAGAGUAACGGAGGAGCACGAAGGUUGGCUAAUCCUGGUCGGACAUCAGGAGGUUAGUGCAAUGGCAUAAGCCAGCUUGACUGCGAGCGUGACGGCGCGAGCAGGUGCGAAAGCAGGUCAUAGUGAUCCGGUGGUUCUGAAUGGAAGGGCCAUCGCUCAACGGAUAAAAGGUACUCCGGGGAUAACAGGCUGAUACCGCCCAAGAGUUCAUAUCGACGGCGGUGUUUGGCACCUCGAUGUCGGCUCAUCACAUCCUGGGGCUGAAGUAGGUCCCAAGGGUAUGGCUGUUCGCCAUUUAAAGUGGUACGCGAGCUGGGUUUAGAACGUCGUGAGACAGUUCGGUCCCUAUCUGCCGUGGGCGCUGGAGAACUGAGGGGGGCUGCUCCUAGUACGAGAGGACCGGAGUGGACGCAUCACUGGUGUUCGGGUUGUCAUGCCAAUGGCACUGCCCGGUAGCUAAAUGCGGAAGAGAUAAGUGCUGAAAGCAUCUAAGCACGAAACUUGCCCCGAGAUGAGUUCU
rnacentral:rRNA from 1 species